rnacentral:sRNA from 1 species
AAAAUGGCUGCCCAACCGAGGAUGAUAGAUCGAACAGGAACUGAACAUUAAAAUGCAGGUUAAACAACGUACAAUGUUAGGCAAGAUAAACACUAGUACCAAAAGGAAGAAUGAAACGUGAACAAACGAAAAGUGUUGUUGAAAUGAAAGCAUGUGUACAUAAUGUGUGAACAAUUAUUUAUUUAAAAAAAUAUUUAUUUCAAACAAUUAGAUAAAAAAAACAAAUGAAGAUUUGUCAAUGUUUUUUAAUGUUUUAAAGGUUGUAUUAGUGCUCUAUAGUGUUAAAAUUUUCCGUUUCAUCCAGAGUGUAUUACAUUGACAUAUGACUUUGUUUAGUAAUCAUAUUCAUAAACUGUAAAUUUACACAUUUUAAUAUAUGUAUAUAUGCAAGCUAAUAGAGCAAAUUUUAUCAUUUUGCUAAUACCAACUGGAAUAUCGUAUGACAUGAAAUGUGAUUAUCUAAAAUAAAAAUGACAGAAAGU